CCUACGGGAGGCAGCAGUGAGGAAUAUUGGUCAAUGGGCGCGAGCCUGAACCAGCCAAGUAGCGUGAAGGAUGACUGCCCUAUGGGUUGUACACUUCUUUUAUAUGGGAAUAAAACAGGGUAUGCAUACCCUCUUGUAUGUACCAUAUGAAUAAGGAUCGGCUAACGCCGUGCCAGCAGCCGCGGUAAUACGGAGGCUCCGAGCGUUAUCCGGAUUUAUUGGGUUUAAAGGGAGCGUAGGUGGAUUGUUAAGUCAGUUGUGAAAGUUUGCGGCUCAACCGUAAAAUUGCAGUUGAAACUGGCAGUUGUGAGUACAGUAGAGGUGGGCGGAAUUCGUGGUGUAGCGGUGAAAUGCUUAGAUAUCACGAAGAACUCCGAUUGCGAAGGCAGCUCACUGGACUGCAACUGACACUGAUGCUCGAAAGUGUGGGUAUCAAACAGGAUUAGAUACCCGAGUAGUC
rnacentral:rRNA from 1 species